rnacentral:misc_RNA from 1 species
AUGGCGUACAUUCACAAUGGCCGUGUCGUGGAGAAGAAGCCCUUCACGGUGCGGGGCUUCCUCCUCGCGCUCUGGACGGCGCUCUCUCUCUUUGCACAAACGCUCUUCACGACCGAGCCAAUGGCACAGGUCGUAGAGGAGCAUCAACACCCUGCGCCUCGUGCGGCGAAUGCGGCAGCCGACGGGGGCGGCAUACUGGGCUCGUUGCGAGCGAUGCUGAACCGCCGCGGUGGCGGCGGCCAUGCGCUGGGCGGCGGGGGGAAUAGCGGCUGGGCUGCCGCUGUCAACCGCCGCGGCGGCAACGUGCAUACACUGCCCAAGGCACCGAUCUCCGGUGGAUGCGCCUCUGGCUGAGGGAGGUAGGCAGGUGAGAGUUGAACGCAACACAGUGGACGUACCUGGCAUAUCGAGUGCACGCAGGGCAAAGAGCUUGGCCGUUGAUUUGGGCAUACCCUGGGUCGCUACCUAGGCACCGCGGCGUUUCUGCCGUGCAUGCAGCCUCCUUUUCUGCUCUCUCGUACGUUUUUCAUGUGUUACGGGCUCACGUGAGAAAGGGGACUGUCCGUUUGUGAGUUCGCGUGUGUGCCGUCGUAUUUUUCAAGUCACGAGUGUCGCUGCGCUCUUUUCUUUCUCCACCCUCCUCAUGCUCGGCUUUCUGCGCUGUUGUUCUUCUGCGUUAUCUGUCCUCCUGCUGGUCCGUCUCUGUCCGCCAUGUGCUGUGCGGAUAGAGGAGGCCGAGAGAUCGAGAGAGAGAGAGACAGACGGCGCCUGCUUGCCCGCUUCUGUGUGUGUGUGUGUCGCCGUGUCUAUCACAAGAAGAAGAGCAGCAGCGCUGUCAUGAGGACGAGUGAGGAGGAUAUUCGCCGAGGCGAAAGAAAGAGGGGGCCGAGAAAAAGACGGCGCCAACGUGUGUUGGCGCAUCUGAUCCACGAACGAAUGCAGUCGUUCCUCUUCUUGCUGAGCAUCUCACCUGCGUUUCCACCGCAUCCGUGCGCUUGUGGAUCGUUGUAGCUGGAGCUGUUGCUGUCUUUGAUGCGUGUGCUGCGCCACACAGGCACAUGCAGCGACAUUGCCGUAGACGCUACAGAAUCAUCCGCAGCAACGCACCACAAGCAGGCAGACAGCCAAACAAAGAAACGAGUAUCCGUUUUCUACGAUUUUGCUGAUUAUGGACCUGUGAGAGAACUGGCGCACCGCCCUCUACUUCGUGCUUGCCGUAAGAAGAUCUUCACACUCACCCUCAUCGCUGGCGCCGGCUGUUCUUCAAUUGCCUCCCCUAGUACUUCUCCUCGCUGCGUUGUGUUUCUACAGCUCAACCGCUGCAGCAGCGCAUACGGCCAUCGAAUCACAUGCAAGAUGGAGUUGGACGAGCUAGUGGAGUGUAUGGUGAAGAUUUCGUGCGUGUGCGCAUCAUGAGGCGAAGAUCCAUGCCCGAGAAGUCGAAGGGAGUGAGCGUUUUGUUUGAUGACUCCUCGUGGAGAAACCCUGAUCUCCCGUGGUCCCACCUGGAUGAUACUGACACGCACAAACAGCGUAUUAUUGCCUUCUCUGGCCACACACGUCCGCGUCUGCCCACACCAGCGCUCGUUUGAGCGACAGCAGCCGUUGUAGCUUUUCAGUUCAAUAUGAGUCCCCAUUCUAUCCCCCCCCUCUUCCCUCCCUCCUCCCAUGCAGUGGAGUAGGGUCUCCUUCGAUGAUAUAUAUAUAUAUGUUGGCUCGUGCUUCCUUUGGCGCCCCUGUGUUUUUUUUUUGGGGGGGAGGGGGGCGGCUCGUCGUCGCAGUUAUUGUUCACCGGUUACGGAACGUACCGCUCAGUUUCUGCUGACGCUACCUCCGUCUUGUGAAGCGAUGAUCAGGGGCGCACCGCAGGCGAAUCUUUCUUUUUUUUCUCUCGAUGCUGAGCCGCCGUCGUUUUCGCUGUGCGUGCUUUGGCGACACCCCCCCGAACACCUCCAGGAUUUCCCUUCCAUCCUCUGCAAUAUUCGCUUCAUCGCUGAUCGUUGCAGCUGCGUGGGGUGCGAUGUCUUUGUUUUGUCAUCUUGUGCUCGUUCUUGUUCGACUCUAUUCCCCAUCCAAAGAAUCGAAUGCCGCUCUCAUCGCGACGGACUUUCCAUGGCAGCUCGCAGCUGAGCUCUUUGUGUUCUGAAUGAGCUACCGCGCUGUUGCCAGACGCGGUGCGAAGGGCUCACUAUGGGUGCUGCAGCUGUGCGCUUUCUUACAGGGUACACAGACCUCUAUUUCCCGAUACGCGCGAGCUAUUCCCAUGCAACAUCCUUUUUUCGACAUGCCGUCAUCUUCUGGUUGCCGUUCCGUUGGCCUCACCCCUCGUUCGCAUGCUUAUGCCACGUGCACCGUUUUCUUCUGCAUGCAUCCUCCACGAUAUUGUCGGCUCUCGUAUCAUACAACGUUAG